UCCGCCGCGAAUACACUGUGACUACGCUGCUCCCUCGAACUCGUAUUUAUCUUCGUACUGACCACCCUCAACGACCACCGCCACCGAUUUCGUAAAAAAAUAUUUUCUUUUCUACUCGAAUUUUCGUCGUUUGAUUUUCCAUUAAUUUUACCAUACAUUUUUUUUUUCGUUUGUUUUAAAUUUCUUCAAGCUCGUGUCAUAUAUUGUACUAUAAAAAUAAUAUCAUCCUCACCUAAUAUAAUAAUAUUAUAAUAUAGUGUUUCGACCGAAACCGUACGGCCACGCCGCCGUCAAUAUCCGGAUCGGACCGCAGAUAUGUGGCCGAAAUUUGCAUUUCUUGGACUUGUGAUCAUCCGGUUAAUGGUGUCUGCGAAUCCGGAUGCAAAAAGAUUGUACGAUGAUCUCUUGUCCAGCUACAACAAGCUUGUCAGACCCGUUGUGAAUACUAGCGAUGUUCUCCGUGUAUCUAUAAAGUUGAAACUGUCACAGCUUAUCGAUGUGAACUUGAAAAAUCAGAUAAUGACCACCAAUUUGUGGGUAGAGCAGGCGUGGAAUGAUUACAAAUUACAAUGGGACCCGAAAGAGUACGGCGGCGUGCAAAUGCUCCACGUGCCUUCUGAUCAUAUUUGGCGGCCGGAUAUCGUGCUCUACAACAACGCCGACGGCAAUUUCGACGUGACGCUGGCCACCAAGGCGACCAUAUACCACGUAGGGCUGGUAGAAUGGAAACCGCCGGCCAUAUUCAAAUCGUCGUGCGAGAUCGACGUGGAAUUUUUCCCGUUCGACGAGCAGACGUGCGUGUUGAAAUUCGGUAGCUGGACGUACGACGGAUUCAAGGUAGACUUGAGACACAUGGACGAAAAGGUCGGUUCGAACAUCGUCGACGUCGGAGUGGAUCUCUCAGAAUUUUACAUGUCGGUCGAAUGGGAUAUACUGGAAGUACCAGCGGUCAGGAACGAAAAGAUCUACCCGUGUUGCGACGAACCGUAUUUAGACAUAACGUUUAACAUCACCAUGAGGAGGAAAACGCUUUUCUAUACAGUAAACAUCAUCAUACCGUGCAUGGGAAUCUCGUUCCUCACAGUUUUGACGUUUUACUUGCCAUCGGACAGCGGUGAAAAAGUGACGUUAUCUAUAUCAAUUUUGAUUAGUCUUCACGUUUUUUUCUUGCUGGUUGUCGAAAUUAUUCCUCCAACGUCAUUAGUAGUCCCAUUGCUGGGAAAAUACCUGAUAUUUGCUAUGAUACUGGUUUCAAUAAGCAUUUGUGUUACCGUUGUCGUAUUGAACGUUCAUUUCCGAUCACCUCAGACGCACAAAAUGGCUCCUUGGGUAAAAAGAGUGUUCAUCCAUAUACUGCCAAGACUUUUAGUCAUGCGAAGACCUCAAUACCAGUUCGAACCAAAUAAAUUCAACGCCGGUUCGAUAAUGCUGAAAGGCAGAGACAUACAUCCAUGUUUCUUCCAGGCUGGCUGUGGUUACGACAGCACAGAAGCCGGUAAAGAUAAAGGUCGCCGACAAACAGAUGACAGUAGCGUGUCGAAAGGCACCAGAGAAACGUCCAAAGAAGACUUAUCCAGUGACGGAGAAGGAGGUAGCUGUCAGGUACACGGGGUGGCGCAGAGUCUGAUGUCCGAUGAGAUAUCAGUAACCGAGAUGACAACAGAUUGCAGUAAGAGCUCUAUCCUGCUUAGGAGCCCUGGAUUUCUGCAUUCAUCCUGUCCUCCAGCCAUGCACAAAUCGUGUUUUUGCAUCCGAUUCAUCGCGGAACACACGAAAAUAACGGACGACGCAACCAAAGUGAAAGAAGAUUGGAAGUAUGUCGCGAUGGUCUUGGACAGACUAUUCUUGUGGAUAUUUACACUGGCCGUGUUCGCGGGCACGGCAGGUAUUAUCCUACAAGCGCCCACGUUGUACGAUGACCGAAUACCGAUCGACAAAAAAUUCAGCGAAUACCAAACCACAUAAAGAAAACGAGUUUUUUAUGAAUGAAAAGAAAAAUCCUAUUGGAGGCCGCCUUUGACUCGGAAAGAUAUACAUCGUACAGUUUGACGCAACGUGAAGGCACCUAAAAAACAACGAAAAACAAAAACAAAUUUCCAACGCCGGUGACGACAUUUUUUUUAGUUGCAGUUUCAGUUGCAGCGGUUGUUCAUAACGAUGAUAAUAUAUUAAUAAGUUAGUUAAAAAAAAAAAAAAAAAAAAAAA